UAGAGUCAUGUAUGGUGUAAGCAUGGAGUUGAUUUGGAAGCAACAAGAUCACGAAAUCAGCCCCCAAAGAGGCUGAUCGGACAGCAGUAAAAACAGGAGGAAAACAUCUCCAAUCUUCUUCUUUUCUUUUGAUUCUUGACCAUCAAAGGCUUCUUUCAGCCAUGAAACACCUCAAGAACAACCAUGGAAUGGAGACCCAACAACACCCUCAAUCUUGUUCUUUUCAUCUUCAAAGGGAUAGUCUUGGCUUCAAAAAUGAU